ensembl:lncRNA
CACGCCCCUUCUUAAUCUCUAAACGCGACGCGCCCUGAGUUUGUGCUGUUAGUACAAAGAAACAACUGCUUAUUUGUAUGCACAUAUCUAUUUUACGUCACAGCGGAGGACAUGGACCUAACCGGAAUAGGUGACCAUAUUGCAGCUAAUGGCAGGGUCUGACUCUCUAUGUAGUGUUGAGAAGGGCUUCUACGAUGGUGUCUUCCUGGAGGAAGACGAUGACGUCAUCCUUCGUCAAACAUGUCCAUACAAAGACCAAUCAUCUGUUCACCAACUAAUUUUAUGCCUUACACAACUCAGCACAUAUAUUCUGCCCUCUCUAUAGAUUAUGCUGAUGCCCCACCGUAAGAACCUGUAGCUCUUUACUGGUUCUGUGGGAGGUGACGUGGCCACAAAUCAGUGCCUGGGACACCUUACAGUGCUACCACUGUCUGAACAACAGCCAAAGGGUGGUCAAGACAUCUACUGCAACUUCAUCUUUAGUGUGUCUGCUCUGCUGCACCUGGGAGAUAAAGAUGGCUCUGGCUUGCUGAUGACAUCUGAUCUGAUCUGACUCCUUGCAAUUUGACUCCUGUAUUACUGACUAUAUUAAAUAAAACUUCCAAUGCC